rnacentral:lncRNA from 1 species
UUAUGGGAGCUACAAGGUGAGAUUUGGGUGGGGACAUAGAGCCAAACCAUAUCAUUGACCUGCUGGCACCAUCAAAUAUUUCUGCAUGAUGAAAUUUCAGCUCAGUUUUAAGUGUCUAUGCCUACAAUCAUCAUGGGACUCUUUCUAACUAUACACUGUACAUCACAUACAACACCUGCAUCCUUCUCUGCCACACAGAUCUGCUGAGAUUUGCAUUAUGGCUGAAUUAGCCGAAAUUUACAUGCCAAAGGGGCAUCGAUAUUUUUCAUCUGCUGCUUUCUACGUGUAGGACAAGGCUUAUAUUACUGGUCCUACACUUUCCUAGAAACCAGAAACAUCGGUAUUAUGUUACUAUUUAUAGUAAUAGCAACAACAUUUAUAGGUUGUGUCCUACCAUGAGGACAAGUAUCUUUUUGAGGGGCAACAGUAAUUACAAAUCUAUUGUCAGCUGUUCCAUACAUUGGCACCAGCCUGGUACAAUAAACUUAGGAGGCUUUUCAGUUGACAAAGCCACCUCACACCAUUCUUCACCUUCCACUUCAUCUUACCUUUCAUUAUCAUGGACCUAGUAGCCAUCUACCCUCUAUUUCUUCCAGAGACAGGAUCCAACAACCUGUCAGGAGUUUCAUCAGAUUCUGGCAAAAUUCCAUUCCAUCCCUACUACACAAUCAAAGACAUUUUGGGUCUAAUUCUCCUUCUACUAUUACUACUUAUA